UCAAAAUAAAAUAGUCGUUACAUCCAAGCUGUAAAACAUUUUAAAAACAUUAAUUAAAAAGAAAAUAAAUAAGUUCGGAAUGUAUCUAAAUUGCCUUAACUACGUGAUUAUUCUAACAUCUCCUCACACGUAACCAAGUACUCUUUUACCAACCUGCAAAAUAAAUCAAAAACAAGGAAAGAGAGAAAACUCCCAAAAUCAGAUAAACUGAGUAAUUCCAACUCCAUCCCGUAAAAUACAUAAUUUUAGUUCGAAAAACAUUUUACACAACACAAUUUCAUCGACAUUAUAAUACUAAGCCAAAAUCAAGUUGUCACAUAAAAAUUUAUUCCUUUAGUUAAGAAAGGGAAAGAGAACGCAAUAAGCCGGGACUAGUCUUUGUCACCACCUACUUUAAAGAGGGUCGCGCGUAACCCCAAAUGACCAUUAAUUAAACAGAAUGUCCCUAGUGUGCACACCCCUCACUAAUACCCAUUGAUUAGGAGGAAGACUAAACAGCAAAAUAUGUUAAUUUAAACCAACUAGUAGCAACCAUAACUACUAGUGGGCAACCUGUUCUUCACCCUUUCGGGUUUCAUUUCCUUUCUUAAUUUUACUGUAUAUUUAAUAGAUUAAAUUGUCCAAUCACAUUGCACACAAGUAUUGCACAAACCAAUUUAAUCCCAAGUAACAAUGUUUCAAUUUCAGUAUUAUUAUAACAUAGUCAUUCUACAUGACAUACUAGUUACAACUCGUUUCCCAAUAGGCUUUGGAGACCAUCAAUUACAUAUAAUCAAUCAUCUUGUUCCCAAGAUUUUAAUUAUUUUAAAAAAACUCAUACGAUACUAAUCAAUCAAAUUUUCGAAAAUACUUAUACUAGUACACAAAAUAUAAAAGUAUCAAAAAUAUGACCCCAUAGUAUCAUACGAUAAUUAAUGCACUCAUCACAUACAAGCACAUACAAUAAAGCGAAAUAAUUUUCCUAACGAGAUUCUAAAGAUGAUGGACAUUGAAAAUUAUCUUGAGUUGCGCUUAAAUCUCAAGGUAAGUAACCUCCGAAACGUUCACCUAGUAGCCUUCGUCAACAAAUAAACAGAUAAUAUUACUAAGUUAAUAAUACUAUAGCCUCCAACUUGUUUACAUAUGUAGUACGAAAGAUUUUUUUUUUUAAUAAAAAAAAAACGAAAUGAAAAGGAAAUUAGUAACCAAAUGGUAUGGAAAAUGUAAAUGGUAAGGAAAUCAGUAGUGCGCCCCUCUCUCUCCUAUUUUAUUGAAGUCAACUAACUCUUUCAAUGAAAUGGUAUGGAACUCCACCACCAUUUCUACGGGAUUGCAACCAACAAUUCAGAAGAGGUUGUGCUAGUACGGCAACGGUGUUGACGGUAUGGGUUGAAGCUAUGGUGGUCUAAGAUGGAGACAAGAAACGGAUUCAAUUUGAGUGCCAAAAGGUCGGGUUCGUCGACGAAGUUACGGGUUUAGCAAUGAAAGGUGUUAAUUAAUAAAGAUUACUAAGUCGUAAAAUUGAAGCUUAAUUGACUAGUUAAAGUCAUCUAAAUAAAGAAGGGAUUAUGAGUUAAUUGAGCUCUCAUACCUAUCAAUUAAUGGAUAUGAAGGGUGGAAGAAGAAGAGUAGUUUUUGUGCCCCCCCCCCCCUGUCUCACGGUCAAACCAUUUAUAAGGUGGAAAUUUGGGUGAGAUUGAGGUUUAGAUUGAUGUAACUAACUAUGAUAAGAUUAAAAUUCAAAUUUUUAGAUAAAGUUAGCUUUCAAAUGAAAUGGGAUUGAAUUACAUGCUGAAAUCAGUUUCUGGAAUUUAUCCAAAAAUCAAUUUUUUUUUUUUUUUUUUUUCUGAAAAUAAAAAUAAUAAUUAUUAAAAAAAUUUACUAUAACAUUUUGUGAAAAGUUGUUUAUUCAAAUUUAGUUUUGAGGAUGGCUAGCAUAUGAAGCAUUAAAUUAAGUAAUUAAUUUUCUCUCACGCUCAAAAAUGCAGGUGAAGCUUUAAGCCCCGUCGCAGCUCCAAUGAUGUCACCGGGUAAUUCUUAAGAUUAAAUGACGUUUCUCACAAGAUUGCGAUGACAGGCCAUAAUGUUGAGUUAUCUAGAUGGAGGUUUCUGUCCAUUAAUUUUUUAUGGAGUAAAAUAUAUAUGUAUAAUCAGGAACGUGCUAUUGGACCUUCUAAAUAAAGAUUUGUGUAUUUGUUUGUGUGAAUUUUCAUAAUAAGGAACGUACGAAUGAGAGUUUGUAUCACUUUUUACACAGAAAUUUCAUUAUCAUCACUAGUUCUCUACUGUACAGCGAGAGAUUUUUUUUUUUUUCACUAGCACUAGUAGAAAAAAUGAAUUAGGCACCGCACUUUUCGCACCGAUUCUUGAAAACCGGUGGUAAAAGAAAUGGACGGGAUUGGGAAAAUGACUUUUCGCAACGGUUCCUAUUAAAUUGGUGCGAAAUUGUAAUCCCCCAUAUUUUUUUUAGUAAAUAAUAAUUAUAUAUAUAUUUAUGUAUACGAAUAUUUUUAAUAAUUAUAUGUUUAUAUAAAAAUAUUUUGGAAAGAUUUCACAAAAUAAAAACGAAUUACUUACUUUGGGCCAUGACUACCAUUCUAAAAAAAAAGAGCCUAUACCCUCAUUUUUUUAAUUAUGUAAACUUCUUCCCCAAAACCCUCCUAUAAACCCACCUACUGCUUUCCCUACUCCCUUUCCCUUGCUUCCCUGCCUCAUUCACGACACACACACACAAAAAAAAAAAAAAACUCACCUACGCUGCUGCUCCACCGCUGCCCAGCCUGCUGCCGCCGCUGCCCUCAGCCGGAAUUCACCACCGUAGCACCACCGGCGACCUGUGUUGCUGCCCGGACCGCCGCCAGAGAGGACUUCGUAGAAGGUGACUUUGGCCAACCAAUUUGUGUACUCAAGGUACGUAUAAGAAUACGAGAAACCUUGAUUUUAAGAGCAUGUUUAGGGACUUGAAAAAACCUAGAAUCAUGCUAGGGAACUUGUGGAUUGGUUGAAAUUGUUUGGUAAUGAGUUGUUUGAUGAUAAAUGUGAUGAUUGGUUUAAUUCAUGUGUGAGAAAUUUGCAUUGAUUUUUCCUUAUGAGCAUUAUUUAUGCAAUAAUUUGCAAAACGGGCUUAGAGGCAAAGUUACAAGGAUAUAUAUGGAAUGAAUUAUUUUGGUUACUUGUUCAUUUAUAUUGAAAUGGAAUGAGUAAAGGAAGAAUUAACGUCUUAUAAGACAAGGUUGAAGAUUUGAGGUGCCUUAUGCACUUAAGGUGUUUAUACACCGAGGUAGUUAAAGGAUUCAAUAAUAAAUAUUGUU